CCUACGGGAUGCUGCAGUGAGGAAUAUUGGUCAAUGGACGAGAGUCUGAACCAGCCAAGUAGCGUGAAGGAUGACUGCCCUAUGGGUUGUAAACUUCUUUUAUAUGGGAAUAAAACGUUCCACGUGUGGGAUUUUGUAUGUACCAUAUGAAUAAGGAUCGGCUAACUCCGUGCCAGCAGCCGCGGUAAUACGGAGGAGCCGACGGUUAUCCGGAUUUAUUGGGUUUAAAGGGGGCGUAGGUGGAUUGUUAAGUCAGGUGUGAAAGUUUGCGGCUCAACCGUAAAAUUGCAGUUGAAACUGGCAGUCUUGAGUACAGUAGAGGUGGGCGGAAUGCGUGGGGUAGCGGUGAAAUGCUUAGAUAUCACGAAGAACUCCGAUUGCGAAGGCAGUUCACUGGACUGCAACUGACACUGAGGCUCGAAAGUGUGGGUAUCAAACAGGAUUAGAUACCCCGGUAGUC
rnacentral:rRNA from 1 species